rnacentral:rRNA from 1 species
AUGUUUGGUGAUUGCGGUCCCGAAGUGAUAAGAGCUAGGAUUAGAGAUGUGAGGGUUAUUCGUUGUAUAGAGUUUUUAUAUGUUUUCCUAGAGGUGAAAAGUUAUUCGAUUAUCAUGAUAUCUGGUUUCCUUGGAUAUGGAUUUAGUUCAGAUUUUUAUGGUUGCUUGUUUUAUUUUUAAGUAUGAAUAAGUGUGUUUUAAUUUAACAGAAUGGGGAUAAGCUCGUUUUGUUUGCUUAUAAUUUUUAGUGUUAAUUUUAGGUUUAGGCUUUAAAUCUGUCAUAAUUUUUUAGUUCGUUAUAGAUAAUUGGUUGUUUAUUUUGUUUGAUAUUUAGGUGAUUUACAAGGACUUUUUGUUUAAUUUUUUUGUUUAGUUGAUAUUGCUUGAAUUAGUAGAGUUUUAUGUUUGUGUUGUUGUUGAAUGAGUGGGUAAGGAAGUUUGGUGUUAUUAAGGAAUUCGGCAAAUAUGGUUUCUGCCUGUUUAUCAAAAACAUGGCCUUUUGUGUGGUUGAUAUAUAAGGUCUGGCCUGCCCGCUGUAGGAAUGAAUGGCUUGCGGUAUACUUGACUGUACGAAGGUAGCGUAGUAAUUUGCCUAUUAAUUGUUGGCUUGAAUGAAUGGUUUGACAAGAGAUCUACUGUCUCUAUAAUAAUAUAUUGAAUUUCACUUCCUUAGUGAAGAGGCUAGGAUUUAGCCAAGGGACGAGAAGACCCUGUAGAUUUUUAGUUCUGUUUGGGAAUGAGAAUUGUUAUGUUAGUUUUGUUCUUGAGUAGUAAUUUUUGCUGGGGUGGCUGUUGAAGAUGAGAAUCUUCAGUUUAUUUGGUUGGCAUUGUUGAGUGUAAUGAUCCUUUAUUAUGGAUAAUAAGAUUAAAAUACCUCAGGGAUAACAGCGUUAUUUUGCUUGAGAGUUCUUAUUGAUAGUGAAGUUUGCGACCUCGAUGUUGAAUUAAGAAAUUACCUUGGUGUAGAGGCUUUGGUUGGAAGGUCUGUUCGACCUUUAAUAUUUUAC